UACUAAACACCAUUUGUGCUCUGACAUAAAAAUCCAUUUAUUAGUAGCACUAUUUGUCUACUACAUGCUUCAUAAGAGUGUUUUAUUUGUUUAUAAAAUGUAUAUGAUUGCAGUCCUUUGAUAACCUGAUACAACAUGUAAGUACCAGCGACCACUGACAUGAAAAGGAAAGUAAAAUACUUUUGUUACUUUGAAAAUGACCUCAGGCUCAACUCACACAUGUCAUUAGUUGAGCUCAUUGAGACUGAAUUUCCUGACUGACCAAUUACAUUAUCUCUACACUUCUGCUUCUAUUCUUUCAACAUGGACUGUUUACAUGUGGCACACACUGUUAGCGCUUUUCAAAUAAGCUAGCAUGUGAAAAGUAGCAGCACAAGUCUAGUUACUGAACUGGCCGUGCAUGUACAAAGCACAUAAACACUGAAUGUUCAACACCACAGAUGCCCCAAACGUUUUCUCUUCUUCUGCCUCCAAUGUGCCCUGAUUGAUCGCUUUAUCAAGAUAGAUAUUGCACCCAAGAACUGCUGCCACAACCCAAUCCAUCCAUGAGAUCCACUAAACACCAUGUGUGGUUUUAAAAAAAAUCCAUUUAUCAGUAGAUUUAGUUUUGAGCAAGCAAGGUAACUAUUUCUAACCCCUCCGUAUAAGAAAAUUGGACGAAGGCUUAUAUCAGGGUAACUAAAGUUUAAAAAAAGGUGUUUUAUGUGCUGGAUUUCUGAUGAUUUAGGUCUUGGAAGACCUGAACAGCCAAGCAUAGUAUUGCAAGUAAGAAAAUGUGAAACAUUGCUAAUAACGUGCCUCAUCUACCAGUAAGGGCUUUAUUUUAUACCAAAGUUUUAAGCAGCUACAGUUUACAAUUCAAACAUGGAAAUGUAAAUACAUAUGGUUAAUGUGGAUGCAACAAAAGAGUUUUUUCUUAGAACAAAAGACUUGGACAUGGAGAAACUUAGCAAGGUUCAAGAACACAAUACAAAGGCAUGCAAUACUCCCAGACUAUUUGAAUCCAGUGCAGUGCAUUGUACAGAACAUAUAACGAUCUCCAAGAUCUGCAAAAACUUAUCAUCCAGACACUUCAUCUCAGUUGAAACACUAUCAAUAAAGCUUCAUAAGACCUUUUCAACAACUCGUGAAAAAAAGAGAAUACGAUGAAACAUGUGUUCUGUAUACACAUGUCUUUAAAAGGAGUUCCCUAAAAAACCUUGUUUCACAUAACUCUGGCUGGCCAAGUCCAGGAGCCUUUGUUUGAUGAGGACCAGACUAAGCUGACACUCCCAUGGUUGCAUACAUCAACCAUGCCCUCCCCGAGUCGGAUCUACUCAUUCUUAAUGCCAUUUAUAAUCACAUCUACAUACAGGAAAACAUGAGUAUAAUCGGAAAAUGAAGAGACUGGAAAAGGGCCACCGAAAUAGAGAAGAGGCAUGCCUAAAGCAUAUUCAUGAUAAUGUAAAAAAUCAGUUAGUAAGCUCGACAAAACAAAUGGCAGCCCGUAACACCAUUACAUAGGGCAAAGGGACAUUAGUUUGCCAGCAUUGUUUAGUGAUGCAGGGAUAAGGGGAACAUGACAAUAAUAUACGUACAUUCAUAGCCAAAGGUAGACCAUCCAAAUUAGGGGAACAUGAGAAAGAUAUAAGAUCAGUAGAUUUUGCUAACUCUAGCACUAAACUAAAUCACGAAGAUCAGUAGUUCACUGCAAAAAUAGAAUAAAGAAUGCAUGGAUGUACCUGUAGAUAAGGGGCAGACCUGUAGGUAGAAGAACCGUCUUUCAUAAGUCAGGAACAAUUUUAUGUAUCUUAGUUUUGCAAUAUGUUCCUUUGUAGGAAAGCUAUAAAGAGAACCUGAAUGCCUUGCAAUUCCUGGGAGAAAACAAUAUGGAAGCAGCAUAUUAUAAUAUAUACGAGUACCAGCAAAAUUGGUAUGUUGGUGGAACUAAAGAUCUUUUGUUGGUUUAAAUAGAUGUUGACUAAAAGAGCUAAACCCCAUUUUCUUUAUCAUGACCAGAAGUUAGAAACAUAGGUUCAAUCUAUGGGAAUGAGUAACCUGACAAAACCCUCUUUACCACAAUAGUCUAUAGAAUACAGAUUCAUUAUCUUAUAUAGUGAGCCCAUAAUGGAUUUAUGAUUGUCAGCACCAAGCUUUAGGGAAAGCAUGUGAGCUUCAGAAGAGUAAACCAAGUAAAGUAGAAACUUCGUAUAAUAAUUUACAGAGAAGAGAAUUAUAAUAAGCAUGUUAAACUUUUGACAUGCUCACUAUGGUUGUCAUAUAGCAUGGGCGUAUCCUAUAGAAACACGAAGAAGCUAUUAAAUGGCAAAGAAGAUCACCAAGUACAGAAGGAACGAUUAGAGUACCUUGUGUUCCGCGCAUGAUUUUGAGGAAUUUCUCCAAAAACAAAAUCCAGGCAAUUCAUCAGUUUACAUGUAGGAAAAGAUUACUGGGAGGCAAGUAGAAUUACCUUCUUUUCAACAUAUAGUGUGUAGAUCUGGUUCAUUUGUGUAGCGUCCCGCAAGUAUGAUUGAAAUGGUAGGUAAUAAAACCAAAAGGCAGGCACGACUGUGUUCACAAGAGAGAAAUGCUAAGUUGUUCUUAUUCACCAAAUUCUUCUGCUGGAUUAUUGCUCUUCUUUCUCAAAUCUGCACAAAUCUGUUCAGAGAAGCCAGAUAUUAGGAAAUCAAAUCAGAGUGACAAAGGAUGGAGCACCUAACAAAGGUUAGUGAACUACCUCUUCAUGCCACACCAUAAUAUGAUUACUUUCAGUCAAAUUGAUUCCCUAUUACUGUGAGUAAAACAUAUUACACGUGACUGGAUCUUAUUGUUAUAGAUUAGCAAGCAUCUCUAGAUUCUAUCACCAUAUAUAUCUUACUCCUAAAGUUACAGGGUAACCGUAAUCAUCUACUUGCAAUUUCCAAGACAUUCUUUCUAAAUGUUAUACUACAUGGCACAUGAGCCUGGCCUCUGCGUUGUGUUCUCCAUCUUGCAGCGCAUGAUGAACUACAUGGUAGAGUUCAGCCGAAGAAGAAUCAUGUGAUUUUGGAUUUUUGUGUAAUUGCUUAUAUUCCUAACUGAGAUGGGAUUACAGUUGUAAGAGUUUUCUGAACUUUAUCUUCUCAUUUGCAGUUUUGAUGGGGAUCACUACAAAUAGUUAUGUUCAUGAAUGUAAGCAUGCAUGUGUGUUUCUAUCCUCUGAUGUCCCAGCACUUAAAGUCUUCUAAAACAUUAGCUGGGUAUGUUUAGAUUCACUCUGAUUUAGCUAUGGCUCAAAAAGCAUGACCCAUAUAAUUCUUUAAUGUUGUGAAAGAUGCACAAAUGUAUCAUUUUGUUUCCUGUUGGAUAAAACAAAAGAGAUCGAGAAGUUUAAAAUUAAAGUUAGUUGUGCAGUUGCAUAGGCAUAUGAAUAAGUUACUGCAUGGGUAAGUUGGUUUCUUCUGUGAACUUGAAUACCAUAAGUUUUUGAAAAGUAAAUAUUAAUCAUCUUUGAAUUUGCAAGCCUCAAAAUUAGGGGAUAAGAUCCUAGAUCGAUCUGACAUCCUUGGUGAGGAGGGGAAGAUGGAGGAGGCACUCGUUCUCGGCACUCGGGUCUCGAUAGUAUCGGCAUCAACUGCAAUCAUCUGCAAAACACAAAAUAAAGAUCAAGCCUUGGCAACAAAAACCACAGGAAACCUGAAAUUCUGUACUGAACGAUAAGAGAUAAAUUGGGGAGAAAUUUAGGUCGCCCGAUUGAUGAGCUCCUGCAUAUGCAUACUGAAAGUAGACCUUUAUUUCACCGACAUUUGGUUCUGAACAUGUGUGCUAAUAGGGAAGUUUGUAUUCUUCUCUAUUUUGAACAGCGCACAAAGAGACUAAAAAAUGGUGAUAUGUUCCUUUCCGUGGUUUAAGAACUCUGGGACUGGCGGAGCGAGUGUAGAACGUAAUGUAUAAUCCAGCACCAGAUAGUGAUGCCUCCGUCAAUCAAAUUCCUAGGAAUUUUCUCCAGAAAUAGACCGAGGUAAUCAUUCUUUUAUACAAAAAGACCUAAAUCACUAUUGUCAAACAUCCACACUCGAACUAAAAACAUCAAUUCGUAGCUAAUCCCCGAAUACAGAUAGUAAUCCAACGAAACCAAAACACCGCAUUCACCAAAUAUGGAGAUCUGAAGAUCAGAAGGGAGGCGGAUGGCUAAACGCACACAACACACACACACACACACAUCAAGCAGGGCAGGAGGACUAGGGAGAACAGGGACUCAGAGGAAGUUACCUUGCCUGGACGGGAUUCUUGGCCGCGACGAUAGAGGCGGCGGCGACGGAGGUGACUCGAUGCGGCGGCCAGGGUGACUCCAUGCGGCGGGUAGCGAAUCCAGGCGGUAGCGCUCGCGAGGCCAUGCGGGCGCCCUAGAUCCAAUCUGUCACCCUGGUCUUGUCAAUCGAGUGAAUAGUGUUAGGAUCGGGCUUCUGCUGGGAUCGGGAUGAGCUCCAUCGCUACGUACCCUUGGCGUGUCGACGGCGUCCCUGACGGCACAUCAUGGGCAGUGGCGUUGGAGAGGAGGAGUGUGGAGGAGACGAGGUAGAGGGGCCACGGGCUCGAGGGCAGCGACGUGGGAGAGGAGGGAGGAGGGAGCAGGGAGGAGACGAUGCGGAGGGGGCGCAGGCUUGACGAGAAGGAUGGGUGUGGCGCACAGGCAGAUGGGAUUGAUGAAUCUCGAUGGCGACGAGACGCGCACGCAGCCAGUAUCACCGAUGAACGGGACCAGGAGCAGCGCAGACCCACCCAUCAUCGCUAUAGAGCAGACGUGGGUGCAUAUGCUGGGCACAUAUGCAUCGG
rnacentral:lncRNA from 1 species